CCUACGGGAGGCUGCAGUGGGGAAUAUUGCACAAUGGGGGAAACCCUGAUGCAGCGACGCCGCGUGAGUGAAGAAGUAUUUCGGUACGUAAAGCUCUAUCAGCAGGGAAGAAAAUGACGGUACCUGACUAAGAAGCCCCGGCUAACUACGUGCCAGCAGCCGCGGUAAUACGUAGGGGGCAAGCGUUAUCCGGAUUUACUGGGUGUAAAGGGAGCGUAGACGGCAGCGCAAGUCUGGAGUGAAAUCCCAUGGCUUAACCAAUGAACUGCUUUGGAAACUGUGCAGCUAGAGUGCAGGAGAGGUAAGCGGAAUUCCUAGUGUAGCGGUGAAAUGCGUAGAUAUUAGGAGGAACACCAGUGGCGAAGGCGGCUUACUGGACUGUAACUGACGUUGAGGCUCGAAAGCGUGGGGAGCAAACAGGAUUAGAUACCCCUGUAGUC
rnacentral:rRNA from 1 species